UACGGGGGGGGGCAAGCGUUGUUCGGAAUUACUGGGCGUAAAGGGCUCGUAGGCGGCCAACUAAGUCAUACGUGAAAUCCCUCGGCUUAACCGGGGAACUGCGUCUGAUACUGGAUGGCUUGAGUUCGGGAGAGGGAUGCGGAAUUCCAGGUGUAGCGGUGAAAUGCGUAGAUAUCUGGAGGAACACCGGUGGCGAAGGCGACAUCCUGGACCGGUAUUGACGCUGAGGCGCGAAAGCCAGGGGAGCAAACGGGG
rnacentral:rRNA from 1 species